rnacentral:misc_RNA from 1 species
ACCUGCAUUAAAGUCCAUAAGGGCAAAGAAUAUAUCUUGGGUUUAGAAAACAAACGGAAAAAAGGAAGCCCACAGCAACAGAACUAAUUACUACACAAAUCAACCAAACCCACAAAUCAAAUUCAUUCUAAAUCUUAAUUUUACAAAAAAGAUCACAAAACUGAAUAGUUCGCCGUUGGCCACCACCAUCGCUUGCCACCACCAGUGAAGUUGAGCUACGAUCAACACAAGGGGCAAUCAAAGUCGUCCGUUCAAACUUAGUCACUCACCCAAAUAAAGUUACAAUCAAUAAGAGGGAGCUG